CAACGUGCCCUCACGCUGCCCUCACUGCCCUGACGUGCCCAGACGUGCCCUGCUCGCUAAGCUGCUGGAGACGGCCACUACUAGUCUUGUUAAACCGAAGAAGACCCGAGGGAGUGAACAACUGGUCCGAGAUGCCUCGUAAGGAGAGGAGGUUAAAACAAAAACAAAAGGAGCUGCGUGAGGCUGCGAAAGGCAGUGGAUCACUCACCAGUUGGAUGACAAAGAGCACAAAAGUUCAAGCAGUCAGCCUUGGCUGCAGCCUCUCUCAGCAAGUAGUCUUCUCCAAACUAUCAGCAGUAUGGCAGGUAAGUCACAGUGAGCCAUUUUCAAUGUUAGUUAUCUUUGCAACUUGUUAUGAUCACAUAACAGCCACUAUCUCUCCCAUGCUCUUUCUAGUGUCUACACUAUGAGAUCAAUACAGCCCACCUCCAGCAAUAUCAGCAGCAGCAGCCUCCUCACCAACCCCCCCAACAGAAGCUGUUCAAUGUACCCAUGAGGUAAAACAGAGACUCAUUUUGCUUUGCACUGACCUCUCACAAAU